rnacentral:tRNA from 1 species
GGGGGUUAUAGUUUAAUCUCCUAGAAUAUUGCUUUUGUAAAGCGAAGGUGUGAGUUCUUUCCCCUUUGGC